ensembl:lncRNA novel transcript, antisense to ERVW-1 and PEX1
GGUUCACUGAUACCUGUGUUAUAGAACCACCAUCAAGUGAAAAUUGCCAUAACACAGGAACUGUAUAAUGAUGACUGCACAAGAUACCAAAUCAGAAGAGGUUCCAUUUCCAAGUUCUGAUUCAUAAGAGCUUCCAAAGUAGAGCCGGUACAUAUUGAAUUUUGAUUCAUCUGGAAGGAUCUCGGACAUCUCUAAAGAAACAAGGGACUGAUCUAAGCCACAUUCUCCAUCUCCAGCUGAAUCGUCAGAGCCACUGCUAUGGUUAAGAAAGACCAUUGAAGACAGACUUAGGUCACUAUCAGAGCUGGAACUUCCAUCCUAAAAUACACAAAAGGACAACCAGUUUAAAGAUGUAAACAAUUUUAGUCUCAGAAAUAAAUAAUAACAUAGAUAGC